rnacentral:rRNA from 1 species
CACGUAGGGCGCCAAGCGUUGUCCGGAAUUAUUGGGCGUAAAGAGCUCGUAGGCGGUCUGUUGCGUCCGCUGUGAAAACCCGGGGCUUAACCCCUGGCUUGCAGUGGAUACGGACAGACUAGAGGUAGGUAGGGGAGAAUGGAAUUCCCGGUGUAGCGGUGAAAUGCGCAGAUAUCGGGAGGAACACCGGUGGCGAAGGCGGUUCUCUGGGCCU